GAUGAACGCUGGCGGCGUGCUUAACACAUGCAAGUCGAACGGUGAAGGAGAGCUUGCUCUCCGGAUCAGUGGCGAACGGGUGAGUAACACGUGAGCAAUCUGCCCCUGACUCUGGGAUAAGCGCUGGAAACGGCGUCUAAUACCGGAUACGAGCUGCGAAGGCAUCUUCAGCAGCUGGAAAGAACUUCGGUCAGGGAUGAGCUCGCGGCCUAUCAGCUAGUUGGUGAGGUAAUGGCUCACCAAGGCGUCGACGGGUAGCCGGCCUGAGAGGGUGACCGGCCACACUGGGACUGAGACACGGCCCAGACUCCUACGGGAGGCAGCAGUGGGGAAUAUUGCACAAUGGGCGCAAGCCUGAUGCAGCAACGCCGCGUGAGGGACGACGGCCUUCGGGUUGUAAACCUUUUUUAGCAGGGAAGAAGCGAAAGUGACGGUACCUGCAGAAAAAGCACCGGCUAACUACGUGCCAGCCGCCGCGGUAA
rnacentral:rRNA from 1 species